rnacentral:rRNA from 1 species
UCCAACGUUCCCAUAACUCAGGGAUAGCCUUUCGAAAGAAAGAUUAAUACCUGAUAGACUUUUUCAAGGCAUCUUGAGAAGUUAAAGAUUUAUUGGUUAUGGAUGGGAUGCGUUCCAUUAGAUAGUUGGUGAGGUAACGGCUCACCAAGUCUUCGAUGGAUAGGGGUUCUGAGAGGAAGGUCCCCACAUUGGUACUGAGACACGGACCAAACUCCUACGGGAGGCAGCAGUGAGGAAUAUUGGUCAAUGGGCGAGAGCCUGAACCAGCCAAGUAGCGUGAAGGAUGAAAGGUCCUAUGGAUUGUAAACUUCUUUUAUAGUAGAAUAAAGUGAUCCAACGUGUGGAUUUUUGUAUGUAUACUAUGAAUAAGGAUCGGCUAACUCCGUGCCAGCAGCAGC